GAUGAAAUACUUGAAUUUUGUAGAAAUGAGAUGAUUGGACAAUCAUGUAUUGUCUUCUACAUGAGAUAGUCGUGCUCAAGCUUUAUGUGAUAGGAUGUUAUAUUGCACGUCUAAAAAGCAUGAUUGGAUAGUUAUGCCUUAUAACCAUGGGGAGCAUUGGAUGUUAUUUUUAUUAUAUCCCAAUUGGCAUUAUUGUUGUUUUCUCGAUCCUCUCAAUGCACCAUUAGAUAACAGGACAGCCAUCAAGGAGACCAUCCAUGAUGCAUUUGAGAUGUAUUUCAUAGAAAGAAUGAA